CGAAAGUUUUAGCUAGUCGGUUUUGCUACUAGCGAAUCACAAGCUAAAUUCCAGCAAGAAAUAUUCAAGUUACAAAUUCUAGUUAAUUUUUACCUAGAGUUAAGCUAAGAUAUCGUAGUUAAGCUUUGCGGGUUCGUAACUAGCCACUUGCAAGUUAUUUUUCAGCAAGAAAUAUUUUUGUUAAAAAUUCUUGCUCAUUCUCAACAAGAUUUAAGCGGAGAUAUUUCAGUUGGUUUUGUGUUACCUAAUUUUAGGUGGUAAUCAGCUUAGAUUAUUUUCCUAGUACUAGCUUCUCAUCAGUAGCUAUAUUUUUAUUGCUUAAAAGUUAAAAUACAUAAAGACUUAAUUAUCGAUAAAAGUGCAAUAUUAUCUCGCGUCAAUCGAUAAAUAAAUAUAUAGCGUUUGACAGCUCGCGUCAAGUUUAUUUAUCUCUCGUCUGCUAUAUUUUGUUAUCUCUGUAAUAAGAGUUGAAGUUCCCCUUAAACAUUUUAUACUAAAUGGCGUCUAACGAGGGCCAUUGCUAUUGAUGUAGAUUUCAAACUGAAUAAUUUAAGAAAAGUUAUAGAAAGUGAUGACAUCAAUGCAGUGGAAGAAACAAGUCCAGAACAUUUGGGCCUCAGUGUUAUACAUCCUCAUGAGUUGCUUUCAGCUAAGGACUCACUCUGCAACAUGAGUUAAUGGAAGUUGUAGUCAAGCUACACCUUCAAAAGUUGUAGUCAAACUACACCUUCGGAAGUUGUUGUACAUGCAGACCAGCAUGAGUCAACAAAUAACACUGAGAAUCAUUUCCAGCUCCCACAGCUAAUGAGUGUGAGUGGUGGUGGGAUAACGCUGCUGAUGCUGAUUCAGAUGCUGAAUCUCUUACAUGUUAAUGAUGGUAUGCAUCAGUUGCACCAGUUAUAGUUUAUCUCCCAUUUCUCAGUACAUCAUUCUACUUUUAAAAACUGGACUUAAAAAUUCGAAAUAAAUUUUUUUGAAUAAAUCGUAAAGAUAUAUUAAAUGGCUUAUUAUUAUGGUUAUUAUUCAUUAUUAUUUUAUUUUCAAUAUCACUGAAACGUUAUUCAUCCAAAUUGGCAACAAAAUGCAAAAUCGCCGAAUUGGCAACGUUUAUAUUGUUCCCUGUUUUUUUUCCCGCUCAUUCCAUGUCAGUUCCACAUGACGCUCAUCGCCUUUACGCAGUCAGUUGCGUUUUGCUGAUGAAGUAUCAUUCUUAUAAAGUUAAAUGUGUGAAAACUUGAAUAGACAAAACCUCUUAUAAUGACAGGCUAAUCAUUCUUAACAUCAAAGUUGCUACUUGGCAUAGCCGGCACUUGCCACCAAAAUCAGUCAAUGAGGACUUGGUAACACAUUAUUGUCACUAAUUGGAAACUAAAAUCUUGAUAGAUUCAAAGAAAGCUGUAUUGGAAAGGUGGCUGGAGAUGGAAUUUACAAUAACGCUUGAUGGAAUUUGUGCGACUAUGAAGCACAAGAUUGAAAUGAGAAGGCCAAGGGUUAGCAUCAGUGCUUUUGUUAAGUCUGGUAUUGUGAUUCAGAAAGUAUUGAUGGGAACAGAACAGAGCGAGACGCAGAAGGAGAGGAAAAGUUUGGAUAACCAACUACAAAUCCACCAAACCAACACCCGAGAAACAAGUGAAACAGAAAAAGCAGCUGAUUUUUGGAAAAAAACAGUAGGCUCAUGCAAUUUUAACAUUCUUUUUUCAACUUCAUUUGUUCAUGUAAAUUUGGGACGAUGCUGUCAUUAUAUUGGAAAAUUAUUCUAACAGUCAUGUAGUAAUAACAUUACCAUUAUUUGAACAUAUUGUUGUUAAUGAAACAUAACUGUUUUGUGUAUGUAAAAUACAAAGAUUGAUUGAACCCAGA
rnacentral:lncRNA from 1 species